AUUUUUUUAUGCAAUAGACAAAUAAUAUAAAUUUUUCAAGUUAGUUUUUAUGGUUUGGUGUGCUAACAGUUAUGGCUUAGUAACUAAGUUACAAAAAUGAAAUACACUAAGUUAGUGUGUUUCAUUUUAAAUUAUCUUUUUUGAGCAAAUCUCAAUGACACUUUACAAAACAUGAGUUGGUUUGUGUUGAUUUAUGAUUAACAACAGAAAAUGCAUUAAUUCAGCAAAUGUUAGUUUAUUACACAUUAGUUAUAUAAUCUCCUAUGAAAUGGUUCAUCUACAUCUAGUACAAUCAAAAUGUUGGUUUGAUGUCAGGUUAAUUUGAGUCAAAACUUUAAUUUUUAAAUGAUUCCCUGCAGGAUGCCUGUUAAAAAGAAAAACUGAAGAAACUUUAAAACUAGAUGAUGCCAAAUAAAGAAGUUGAAACACCGUUAUUCAUGGUGUCAUAUCCAUGUAAAAGUGGAUGAAAGCACUAAAAAAAACGACAACAAUAAACUUUAAAGCAGAAUUUUGUCAUGCGAUUAUGGUGGCGAUAUGAGAGAACUAAUGUGGCAGAAUAUUACUAUCGUAGAACAGUUUUGCAUCAAAUCAUUGUAUAAUAUUAGUUUUUUGUUGCUUAAAAAUAUUAUGAAAUUCAAA